rnacentral:snRNA from 1 species
UUGCUCGCUUCGGCAGCACAUAUACUAAAAUUGGAAUGAUAUAGAGAAGAUUAGCAUGGCACCUGCGCAAGGAUGACACGCAAAUUCGUGAAGUGUUCCAUAUUUUU